rnacentral:rRNA from 1 species
AUUGAACGCUGGCGGCAUGCCUUACACAUGCAAGACGAACGGCAGCACGGGUGCUUGCACCUGGUGGCGAGUGGCGAACGGGUGAGUAAUACAUCGGAACAUGUCCUGUAGUGGGGGAUAGCCCGGCGAAAGCCGGAUUAAUACCGCAUACGAUCUACGGAUGAAAGCGGGGGACCUUCGGGCCUCGCGCUAUAGGGUUGGCCGAUGGCUGAUUAGCUAGUUGGUGGGGUAAAGGCCUACCAAGGCGACGAUCAGUAGCUGGUCUGAGAGGACGACCAGCCACACUGGGACUGAGACACGGCCCAGACUCCUACGGGAGGCAGCAGUGGGGAAUUUUGGACAAUGGGCGAAAGCCUGAUCCAGCAAUGCCGCGUGUGUGAAGAAGGCCUUCGGGUUGUAAAGCACUUUUGUCCGGAAAGAAAUCCUUGGCCCUAAUACGGUCGGGGGAUGACGGUACCGGAAGAAUAAGCACCGGCUAACUACGUG